rnacentral:rRNA from 1 species
UGGGGAAUAUUGCACAAUGGGCGCAAGCCUGAUGCAGCCAUGCCGCGUGUAUGAAGAAGGCCUUCGGGUUGUAAAGUACUUUCAGCGGGGAGGAAGGGAGUAAAGUUAAUACCUUUGCCCAUUGACGUUACCCGCAGAAGAAGCACCGGCUAACUCCGUGCCAGCAGCCGCGGUAAUACGGAGGGUGCAAGCGUUAAUCGGAAUUACUGGGCUUAAAGCGCACGCAGGCGGUUUGUUAAGUCAGAUGUGAAAUCCCCGGGCUCAACCUGGGAACUGCAUCUGAUACUGGCAAGCUUGAUUCUCGUAGAGGGGGGUAGAAUUCCAGGUGUAGCGGUGAAAUGCGUAGAGAUCUGGAGGAAUACCGGUGGCGAAGGCGGCCCCCUGGACAAAGACUGACGCUCAGGUGCGAAAGCGUGGGGAGCAAACAGG